rnacentral:rRNA from 1 species
GACGAACGCUGGCGGCGCGCUUAACACAUGCAAGUCGUGCGGUGUCGAAGGCAAGUCUUACGACAAGCCUUCGACACAGCGGCGAACGGGUGAGUAACACGUGAGUAGCUGUCCUAAGGAGGGGGAUAACGCCUGGAAACGGGUGCUAACACCCCAUAUGCCUCGCAAGAGGUGAAAGUGUACUUGCUACAGCCUUAGGGUGUGCUCGCGGCCUAUCAGCUAGUUGGUGAGGUAACGGCUCACCAAGGCCAAGACGGGUAGCCGGCCUGAGAGGGUGUACGGCCACACUGGAAUUGAGAUACGGUCCAGACUCCUACGGGAGGCAGCAGUGGGGAAUCUUGGGCAAUGGGCGAAAGCCUGACCCAGCGACGCCGCGUUGGGGAUGAAGCCCUUCGGGGCGUAAACCCAUGUUGUAGGGGACGAAGAAAGUGACGGUACCUACGAGAAAGCCCCGGCCAACUACGUGCCAGCAGCCGCGGUAAACCAGACAGCGUA